rnacentral:rRNA from 1 species
CAGCCGCCACGGUAAUACAGAGGGUGCAAGCGUUAAUCGGAUUUACUGGGCGUAAAGCGUGCGUAGGUGGCUGUUUAAGUCGGAUGUGAAAGCCCUGGGCUUAACCUGGGAACUGCAUUCGAUACUGGAUAGCUAGAGAUCGGUAGAGGGCAGCGGAAUUCCGGGUGUAGCGGUGAAAUGCGUAGAUAUCCGGAGGAACACCGAUGGCGAAGGCAACUGCCUGGGCCUGAUCUGACACUGAGGCACGAAAGCGUGGGUAGCAAACAGGAUUAGAUACCCCAGUAGUCCCUGUCUCUUAUAC